rnacentral:rRNA from 1 species
UGCGCAGGCGGGAUAGUAAGUCAGUGGUGAAAGCCUACAGCUCAACUGUAGAACUGCCAUUGAUACUGCUAUUCUUGAGUACAGUUGAAGUGGGCGGAAUGUGUUGUGUAGCGGUGAAAUGCAUAGAUAUAACACAGAACUCCGAUUGCGAAGGCAGCUCGCUAAACUGUAACUGACGCUCAUGCACGAAAGCGUGGGGAGCGAACAGGAUUAGAUACCCUGGUAGUC